AUACUCUGGUUUCUUUUCAGAUAGUAUAAGUCUUUUGCCUUUUACUAAAGAGUUCUGUGGAGGGGAGCCCUCAGAGUUUUAAAUAAUUUUUUAUAACCCUGAAUUCAGAAGGGCU